rnacentral:rRNA from 1 species
AUGGAGGGAGAAUUAGGCCAACCAGAAUUCAUUACUUCUAUCUCAACUUCGAACGAGUGGAGAAAUUUCCAGAAUGUUCUUGCACAUGACAUGUAUAAUAGACAUAGGGCUGCUAGGGGUCAUCGAGAUAUGGAUGUGGACACCUCAAGUAUGUCUCGUGGAAGAGGCAAUAAUAAAAGGAAGUGGACUUCGGAUGAGGAUGAUGAACUUAUUAAACCCUUGUAUGAGUUGUCUUUGGACCCAAGGUGGAAGGCAGAUGGUAGCUUCAAAAAUGGAUACCUGGUGGUAUUGGAGAAGCACCUUGCUGAAAAGUGCCCGGGUUGUGGUAUCUCUGCAAUUCCACACAUCGAGUCAAGAGUGAGGCACUUUAGUACAAAAUUUGGUGCUCUUGAAGUAAUGUUAUCCAAAAGUGGUUUCACAUGGGAUGGAAACCGGAAGAUGAUUCAAUGUGAGAAGGCACAGUAUGAAGCAGAUUGUAAGAUUCAUAGUGAGGCAAAGGGAUUGUAUGGUGUCCCAUUUCCAUACUUUGAGCAGUUGGCUGCUAUUUAG